GGAGCACCCCAGCUGGCCAGGUGGCUUUGCAUGGGGCUGCAGAGAAUGCUGCCAGCUGCCAGACUUCUCUUAAGUGCAAAGGUUCUGUUCAUUUCCUCCACUGGUGCAAUCACUAUCAAGAAUUCGGUGUAUGCCCAGUUCAUCUUUAAAGGUCUUUAAAAGGAGAUGGCCUCCAACACCAAAGUCACAGUGUUAAAGAUCCAAGAUGAUCCCAUUGGUGGCACAAGUUCCUGACUAUGACUUCCUGAAGAAGGAUGAUCAGAGCCUGAAGAAAGUGUAUCAGGAGGCUGAGUGAAUUAUUUGUCAAGAAAUAUGUUAUCUGUGUAGAUCACAGAGUUGUCUGGAUGUAAACAUUAAAACACGUGAGUUGUACAUAUGAAAUAUAUACAUAUAUUUAUGCACACAUAUUAUUUAUACAUAUAAAAUUGGUCUAAUCAAUGAGUUUCUGUGGGGUAGGAUAACUUAUAGAUUGUAAUGAAGUGGAUGCCCUUGGUAUGGGAUGCUUGUCUCCCAUUCCUGAUGCCACCUUUUCUCUGUGUAACUCUCCUGACUUUCCUCUACUAUUUACUCCCUCUAACCUAGGGAAGGUAUAAUGAUUUCCCAAAUUGAUAACAUUUGGAAGAAAAAGUCAAAUUUUCUUGGCCCAGCUCCC
rnacentral:lncRNA from 1 species